UUUCCUGUAGUGCAAUGGUUAGCACACCCGUUUUUGAUGCGGGUAGUUGUGGUUCAAAUCCAUACGGGAAAA
rnacentral:tRNA from 1 species